GAUGAACGCUGGCGGCGUGCCUAAUACAUGCAAGUCGAGCGAACAGAAGAGGAGCUUGCUCCUCUGACGUUAGCGGCGGACGGGUGAGUAACACGUGGAUAACCUACCUAUAAGACUGAGAUAACUUCGGGAAACCGGAGCUAAUACCGGAUAAUAUAUUGAACCGCAUGGUUCAAUAGUGAAAGACGGUUUUGCUGUCACUUAUAGAUGGAUCCGCGCCGCAUUAGCUAGUUGGUAAGGUAACGGCUUACCAAGGCAACGAUGCGUAGCCGACCUGAGAGGGUGAUCGGCCACACUGGAACUGAGACACGGUCCAGACUCCUACGGGAGGCAGCAGUAGGGAAUCUUCCGCAAUGGGCGAAAGCCUGACGGAGCAACGCCGCGUGAGUGAUGAAGGUCUUCGGAUCGUAAAACUCUGUUAUUAGGGAAGAACAAAUGUGUAAGUAACUAUGCACGUCUUGACGGUACCUAAUCAGAAAGCCACGGCUAACUACGUG
rnacentral:rRNA from 1 species